GACGAACGCUGGCGGCGUGCUUAACACAUGCAAGUCGAACGGAGAGGCCCUGCUUUUGUGGGGUGCUCGAGUGGCGAACGGGUGAGUAACACGUGAGUAACCUGCCCUUGACUUUGGGAUAACUUCAGGAAACUGGGGCUAAUACCGGAUAGGAGCUCCUGCUGCAUGGUGGGGGUUGGAAAGUUUCGGCGGUUGGGGAUGGACUCGCGGCUUAUCAGCUUGUUGGUGGGGUAGUGGCUUACCAAGGCUUUGACGGGUAGCCGGCCUGAGAGGGUGACCGGCCACAUUGGGACUGAGAUACGGCCCAGACUCCUACGGGAGGCAGCAGUGGGGAAUAUUGCACAAUGGGCGGAAGCCUGAUGCAGCAACGCCGCGUGCGGGAUGACGGCCUUCGGGUUGUAAACCGCUUUCGCCUGUGACGAAGCGUGAGUGACGGUAAUGGGUAAAGAAGCACCGGCUAACUACGUGCCAGCAGCCGCGGUGAUACGUAGGGUGCGAGCGUUGUCCGGAUUUAUUGGGCGUAAAGGGCUCGUAGGUGGUUGAUCGCGUCGGAAGUGUAAUCUUGGGGCUUAACCCUGAGCGUGCUUUCGAUACGGGUUGACUUGAGGAAGGUAGGGGAGAAUGGAAUUCCUGGUGGAGCGGUGGAAUGCGCAGAUAUCAGGAGGAACACCAGUGGCGAAGGCGGUUCUCUGGGCCUUUCCUGACGCUGAGGAGCGAAAGCGUGGGGAGCGAACAGGCUUAGAUACCCUGGUAGUCCACGCUGUAAACGGUGGGUACUAGGUGUGGGGUCCAUUCCACGGGUUCCGUGCCGUAGCUAACGCUUUAAGUACCCCGCCUGGGGAGUACGGCCGCAAGGCUAAAACUCAAAGGAAUUGACGGGGCCCCGCACAAGCGGCGGAGCAUGCGGAUUAAUUCGAUGCAACGCGUAGAACCUUACCUGGGUUUGACAUGGAUCGGGAGUGCUCAGAGAUGGGUGUGCCUCUUUUGGGGUCGGUUCACAGGUGGUGCAUGGCUGUCGUCAGCUCGUGUCGUGAGAUGUUGGGUUAAGUCCCGCAACGAGCGCAACCCUUGUUCACUGUUGCCAGCACGUUAUGGUGGGGACUCAGUGGAGACCGCCGGGGUCAACUCGGAGGAAGGUGGGGAUGACGUCAAGUCAUCAUGCCCCUUAUGUCCAGGGCUUCACGCAUGCUACAAUGGCUGGUACAGAGAGUGGCGAGCCUGUGAGGGUGAGCGAAUCUCGGAAAGUCGGUCUCAGUUCGGAUUGGGGUCUGCAACUCGACCUCAUGAAGUCGGAGUCGCUAGUAAUCGCAGAUCAGCAACGCUGCGGUGAAUACGUUCCCGGGGCU
rnacentral:rRNA from 1 species